rnacentral:rRNA from 1 species
CCUACGGGUGGCAGCAGUGAGGAAUAUUGGUCAAUGGGCGCGAGCCUGAACCAGCCAAGUAGCGUGAAUGAUGACUGCCCUACGGGUUGUAAACUUCUUUUAUAAAGGAAUAAAGUCAGGCACGUGUGCCUUUUUGUAUGUACUUUAUGAAUAAGGAUCGGCUCACUCCGUUCCAGCAGCCGCGGUAAUACGGAGGAUACGAGCGUUAUCCGGAUUUAUUGGGUUUAACGGGAGCGUAGAUGGGUUGUUAAGUCAGUUGUGAAAGUUUGCGGCUCAACCGUACAAAGGCAAUUGAUACUGGCAGUCUUGAGUACAGUUGAGGUAGGCGGAAUUCGAGGUGUAGCGGUGAAAUGCUUAGAUAUCACGAAGAACUCCGAUUGCGAAGGCAGCUUACUAAUCUGCCACUGACAUUGAUGUGCGAAAGUGUGGGUAUCAAACAGGAUUAGAUACCCCAGUAGUC